CCUAUUAUGACUUUAAAUAGUUUGACCACAAAGUAGCAGUGAAAUAAAUAUAGCUAGUACAAAAAAUGUAGAUAAUUCUAGUUAAAAUAAUUUAAAUUGAGGAAAAAAAAAAUUACUAAUUAGUACACAUUAAAAGUUUGAUACUGGUAGACGUUUUACGGAAAUGGAAAAAUGUAAUAAAAAAAUGUGGAACGCUUCACGAUUUUGCGUGUCAUCCUUGCGCAGGGGCCAUGCUAAUCUUCUCUGUAUCGUUCCAAUUUUAGUAUAUGUACUGC